AAUGGCUGCAGUAAUUUGACUGUACAAAGGUAGCAUAAUCAUUAGUUUUUUAAUUAAAAGCUUGUAUGAAAGGUUGGACGAAAUAAAUUCUGUCUCUUUUUAAUAAAAUUAGAAUUUAAUUUUUAAGUUAAAAAGCUUAAAUAUUUAUAAAAGACGAGAAGACCCUAUAGAGUUUUAUAAUUUAAAUUUAUUAAUUAAUUUAGAUUUAUUAAUUUUAUUUUUUUUAAAUUAUUUUAUUGGGGUAAUAGAAAGAUUAAAAAAAUUCUUUUUUUUAUAAAAUCAUUAAUUUAUGAAAAUUUUAUGAUCCAUUAGAUUUUGAAUAUAAGAUUAAAUUACCUUAGGGAUAACAGCGUAAUUUUUUUUAAGAGUUCAUAUCGAUAAAAAAGUUUGCGACCUCGAUGUUGGAUUAAAGAUUAAUUUAGGUGUAGAAGUUUAAAUUUUUGGUCUGUUCGACCAUUGAAUCUUUACAUGAUCUGAGUUCAAACCGGUGUAAGCCAGGUUGGUUUCUAUCUUUAUAAAAAUUUUAUAUUUCAGUACGAAAGGACCAAUUAUAUUAUAUAUUUAUAUUUAAAUUAUUGAAUAU
rnacentral:rRNA from 1 species